AAUAUAGUACUGAGUGAUUAAGAGCCUGGCUUGGAAUCAGAUAGAUGUAGUUUUAAAUUCUGUCUGUAUUA
rfam:Gorilla gorilla gorilla genomic chromosome, chr4, whole genome shotgun sequence